AAUCUUUCAGGUUGUCCAACACCCUAUUCCAUGACAACAAGAAAAGUUUGAGCAUGAGCAGAAAACAGACGUAUCUGUUUUUGCUCACUGUGAAGAUAGGACUUCUCACAAUAUUCUGCAGCAGAAUAAAGUUGAGGCCGCAAGUUUUUGAGCUCCUGCAAAGCUUUGACGAAGCUUUUGCUGCGCUCCAUGGAAACGUCAUCGAAGGUCAUGGGUGGAUUGUCCGACGCGGUUUGCUCCAAUUCCAUUUUUCUCAGCCGUUAAAAGCGUGAGUUAAGAAUUUGCGACAAAAAUGAAUUGACAUAUACAAACCCUAAACGCAUAAUAUUAAAGAAAAGCUGAGGGACUAAUAUUAUAUGAAUGUGCAAGUAAUAUAAAA
rnacentral:misc_RNA from 1 species